GAAACACAAACAAAAUUCAUAAUUUGAUACUGAUAAUAUUUGAAAUCGAAAUCCAUAUAUACAUUACAUUCCUAAUUAAAAUAUCAAAGAAAGGAAAAUUGUCCUAAUUUAAAGAAUUUAAGUAAUGUUAAAAAAAUCAAACACAUCAUAAACCAAAACCUAAACAUAACUAGCUAGGCAUUCAUUUUGUUUGUAUUGCUCCUUGUCUUCUGGAGAAGGGCAUCAGAUGAUAUGUAAGUUGGUUUCCUUUCCGUUGAGUUUUGAUGUGAUAUAAUUUUUGGUACCUAUAACAACAACAUUGAAACCAAAAAAAUUAGUUCAUCAUAAACUUAGUAUAGUACUUUUUGAAGAAAAUAAAGUUUAAUGCACAAAGUAGUGAACAUUUUGAAACAAUCCUUUGAUUCGGAUUGCACAAGGUAUUUUGGCCAUGGAACAAAACUUUUAUAUGCAUCCUCAACUAAUGUGAAUUCUCUAGUUUUAUGGGGUAGAAAUGCAUGUUUUAUUACCACUUCAUCAACGGAAACUUUAUAGCAAUCAUCUUGUAGAGGAACUCCAUGAAUAAGUUGACUUUCUGAUGAUAAGUGAACGGUACCACGAGCAUCGAUGUUCCUUUUAUCCGGAUAUGAUAGACUUCAAUUGAUUGACUACAAAUGAUAUGUAAUAUUAUAAUCAGAAGAAAAAAAAAUGUAUAUUCAACAUGUGAAAAAACACUAACCUGGUGAAUAGGAUUUUUUGGUGAAAUUGUUGGUAUCUUAGGAUUGAUAGUAGAAAUCUUAGACUCAACAACUUUUAUGGUGGCUUUUGUAAUUGCCUAAUAGUUUACAACAUAUUUACUGUAAUCUUUUCCCAUAGUUUCUCCCUGAAUUCCAAGGUUACAGAUUUACAUCCUUCCAGGUAAAAACACUUAAUCCCACCUUCUUGUGGAAAAGGUCUCCAAAUAACUAACAAACAACGCCCUAUGUUUCCCUGAAACACUACCCAAUUCAUCAAACUUUAUAUGUUUUUUUUCUACCACUAAUUCAGUGCGCAGCUUUAGCAAACAAACAUGAUUUCAACAAAGUAUAAAUAGCAAUGUAUAAAUGAUAUCAGUAAAUAAAAAUCUUUUUAAGCAACUAUAAACAUCAAUUUUCAGCAUAUAAACAUGAUUUGAACAAAUAAAAAGUUAUUUCAGCAAAUAAAUCUGAUUUCAGUAACUAUAAACAACAAUUUUCAACAAAUAAACAUGAUUUCAGCAAAGUAUAGAUGAUUUUAGCAAAUAUAAAACUAUUUCAGCAAGUAAAUCUGAUUUCAACUACUAUAAACAGUAGUUUUUAGUAAAUAAAUAUGACUUCAGCAAAUAUAUAGAUGAUUCCAGCAAUUAAAAAUUUAUUUAAGCAAAUAAAAUUGAUUUUCAGCAAUAUAUACAUUUGAUUUUCAGCAGAUCUAAACAUAAUAUUUACAAUAUUUCAGCUUUGAAUUAGAAGUAUGUUUCAGGUUACAAAAGUAAAUUCAUAACUAAAAAUCGUAUUCUAGCAAUAUUUCAUCUUGAAAAACAAACCCUAGAAGAGAAUUUCAGAAAAAGAAAUACUGGUGGUGUAGCAGCGAACGUAGACGAAACUGAUGGACUGGUGAGGGAUGGGAAAAAACGACCAUUAGCGAUGGAGAGCUGAAACCGAGCGGUCGGCGUCAAAGGAUUUCACGGUAACGAUAGCAGAUUCGGCGCUUACCGGCGUCGGGAUAGAGGAUUUUGCGAUCUAGGGUUCUCUAGUAGCAUGAAACACGGAAGAGAAGGCAACUCACAGUAGAAUAUGAAUAACAGGAGUGAAGGUGAAGGGAAUACGACCUAGAUUCGGCGCUUACCGGCGACAUGAUAGAGGAUUUUGUGAUCUAUGGUUCUCUAGUAGCAUCAGAAGAGAUAGCCACUCACGGUAGAAGGUGAAUAACAUGAGUGAAGGUGAAGGGCAAAUAACCUAAAUUCUAAUCGAUAUUAGGGUAGAGACGAUUUGGAGCCGGGAAACUCAAUCAAAAUUUUUGGGUAAGCAGGAAUUGAAAACUUGGAAAGGGGGAAUAAACUCCUAUGAAAUUAU
rnacentral:lncRNA from 1 species